CCCUUAGAUGUUCUGGGCCGCACGCGCGCUACACUGAUGCAUUCAACGAGCCUAUCCUUGACCGACAGGUCCGGGUAAUCUUUGAAUCUGCAUCGUGACGGGGAUAGAUUAUUGCAAUUAUUAAUCUUCAACGAGGAAUGCCUAGUAGGCGCAAGUCAUCAGCUUGCGUCGAUUACGUCCCUGCCCUUUGUACACACCGCCCGUCGCUCCUACCGAUGGAUCGUCCGGUGAAGCUCACGGAGUGACUGUUCACGCAACGGUUUACGAAGUGAAAUGGACCUCACGAUUUAGAGGAAGGAGAAGUCGUAACA
rnacentral:rRNA from 1 species